UUCCUCUGAACCAGCAGCAGUGGGACGACGGCUCAGAAGCCCCUACCUCUGGGCCGGGAACAGCAGGACUCAGUACCUUGGUCUGGUGGUCUGGUGUCCUCUGCGACUUUGUAGUGUGGAACCAGGUGGCAGGUUGAUUUUCAAUUCUGUUCCUCAGUCUAUGGCAUUGACACCCUGAAACAUGUCACCAAGCAUAUCCUUCAGAUCACCUGUUCGGUGCUAAGAUAUAAAGUCUGAAUCGCUGAAUACUUCAACUGUCAUUUUCUCUAAGGUACAAGUGUCUGUAACACCUGUUGUCCGACUCUAGCCUCUGACACUAUCCUUUCCUGCACUGCGCUCCUCUGAAGGAAUUAUCUGCUUGGAUUACAAGUGCUGUGACAUCCAAGUGUGUGUCUCCGUAUUGCCAGAUGACCCCUUGGGUCUGGAAUAGAAGCAGGCUCCCUUGCUCUCUGCCUGAGCACAUACAUACCACUCCCGGGCCAGAGAUGAAACUGACCGCUCUGCUGCUCUCACUGUGAUGUUCUGCACACUGACUUCAUUCUUCGGCCUGAACGGUGUGCCUGCUUCUCUGAACUCAUGGAUAGUUCCUUUCACUGACCGCGUAUGAUGCAGGCUUACUAAUUUUGCUGUUUGACUUGCCCAUGGGGGCUGUUCCUCUGUAGAGAGUCGCCCGAUGCCAGCACCAUUCCCCGUUCUUUCAUGUGUAAUCUGUGUGUCUUAUCUGGGUGGAAGGGAAAGUCCCUUUCUGGUUAAGCCUGACUAUGUCAGUUUGAUUGGCUUGGGAGCCACCCAGGGGAUUAGGAAAGCACACUUCUCAGUGGGUCACGAAGGUGUGAAAUUAGGGACUCUACCUGAUCCCAGCCCCUGCCUCUGCACUGUUCCCCUGCUCUGCUGCCCCACUGCCAUCCGCUGAACAUCUUUGUCCUGCCAUGCCCUUCCACUAUGAUGCUUCUCCUUUAGAGCUAGCCAACCAUGGACUGAAUCCCUUAAAACCAAGAACCAAAGUAAACUCCUUUAAGUCGUGGGUGUUGGGUAUUGUGUCUUUGUGUCAGGAAGGCUAAUACACCCUGCAUCAACCCUCUGGCCACAGGUAGAGUUGCCUGUGCCAGCCGCUGUGAGACUCAACACCACUGUAAACUGCCACGGACAGCAGGGGAUUAGGGGAAGGGAGAAUUGGCGAUGGCGAGGACACCUGACCUGGGAAUUGCACUGUGUGGUUAGUGUGACCAUGAGUUCUUUUAACAAAUGCAUUUAAGUUAGUUGUUUUGUGUAUCCAGGUUUAUGUUUUGACACCUUAAUAAAAAGACGAAUGUGUAUCUACCAUAAGUCACUUGGUUCAUCUUACUUCACAUCUGAAGGAGAAGGGAAGCUGAGGAGGGUAGGCGGGGGUCCGGGGGUGUAAAUGCAGAUGCAGAAGCCACCAGGAUAAUUAAAC
rnacentral:lncRNA from 1 species